rnacentral:tRNA from 1 species
GGAGAGAUGGCUCAGUGGUUAAGAGCACUGACUGAUCUUCCAGAGAUCCUGAGUUCAAUUCUCAGCAACCACA